GGUUAGUUGGCUCAGUUGGUUGAGCAUGGCACUUGCAAGGCCAGGGUUGUGGGUUUGAUUCCCAAAGUGGACC
rnacentral:tRNA from 1 species